rnacentral:rRNA from 1 species
AUUGAACGCUGGCGGCAUGCUUUACACAUGCAAGUCGAACGGUAACAGGCCGCAAGGUGCUGACGAGUGGCGCACGGGUGAGUAAUGCAUCGGAACGUGCCCAGUCGUGGGGGAUAACUACUCGAAAGAGUAGCUAAUACCGCAUACGAUCUAUGGAUGAAAGCGGGGGACCGUAAGGCCUCGCGCGAUUGGAGCGGCCGAUGUCAGAUUAGGUAGUUGGUGGGGUAAAGGCUCACCAAGCCAACGAUCUGUAGCUGGUCUGAGAGGACGACCAGCCACACUGGGACUGAGACACGGCCCAGACUCCUACGGGAGGCAGCAGUGGGGAAUUUUGGGCAAAGGGCGCAAGCCUGAUCCAGCAAUGCCGCGUGCAGGAAGAAGGCCUUCGGGUUGUAAACUGCUUUUGUACGGAACGAAACGGCUCUGGUUAAUACCCGGGGCUAAUGACGGUACCGUAAGAAUAAGCACCGGCUAACUACGUG